rnacentral:rRNA from 1 species
GGUGGGAUUAGCUAGUUGGUGAGGUAAGGGCUCACCAAGGCGACGAUCCCUAGCUGGUCUGAGAGGAUGAUCAGCCACACUGGAACUGAGACACGGUCCAGACUCCUACGGGAGGCAGCAGUGGGGAAUAUUGCACAAUGGGCGCAAGCCUGAUGCAGCCAUGCCGCGUGUGUGAAGAAGGCCUUCGGGUUGUAAAGCACUUUCAGUCGUGAGGAAGGUGGUGUAGUUAAUAGCUGUAUCAUUUGACGUUAGCGACAGAAGAAGCACCGGCUAACUCCGUGCCAGCAGCCGCGGUAAUACGGAGGGUGCGAGCGUUAAUCGGAAUUACUGGGCGUAAAGCGCAUGCAGGUGGUUUGUUAAGUCAGAUGUGAAAGCCCGGGGCUCAACCUCGGAAUUGCAUUUGAAACUGGCAGACUAGAGUACUGUAGAGGGGGGUAGAAUUUCAGGUGUAGCGGUGAAAUGCGUAGAGAUCUGAAGGAAUACCGGUGGCGAAGGCGGCCCCCUGGACAGAUACUGACACUCAGAUGCGAAAGCGUGGGGAGCAAACAGGAUUAGAUACCCUGGUAGUCCACGCCGUAAACGAUGUCUACUUGGAGGUUGUGGCCUUGAGCCGUGGCUUUCGGAGCUAACGCGUUAAGUAGACCGCCUGGGGAGUACGGUCGCAAGAUUAAAACUCAAAUGAAUUGACGGGGGCCCGCACAAGCGGUGGAGCAUGUGGUUUAAUUCGAUGCAACGCGAAGAACCUUACCUACUCUUGACAUCCAGAGAACUUUCCAGAGAUGGAUUGGUGCCUUCGGGAACUCUGAGACAGGUGCUGCAUGGCUGUCGUCAGCUCGU